AUUGAACGCUGGCGGCAGGCUUAACACAUGCAAGUCGAGCGGAGAUGAGGUGCUUGCACCUUAUCUUAGCGGCGGACGGGUGAGUAAUGCUUAGGAAUCUGCCUAUUAGUGGGGGACAACAUUCCGAAAGGAAUGCUAAUACCGCAUACGUCCUACGGGAGAAAGCAGGGGAUCUUCGGACCUUGCGCUAAUAGAUGAGCCUAAGUCGGAUUAGCUAGUUGGUGGGGUAAAGGCCUACCAAGGCGACGAUCUGUAGCGGGUCUGAGAGGAUGAUCCGCCAGACUGGGACAGAGACAAGGCACAGACUCCUACGGGAGGCAGCAGUGGGGAAUAUUGGAAAAUGGGGGGAACCCCGAUCCAGCCAUGACGCGUGUGUGAAGAAGGCCUUAUGGUUGUAAAGCACUUUAAGCGAGGAGGAGGCUACUGAGACUAAUACUCUUGGAUAGUGGACGUUACUCGCAGAAUAAGCACCUACAAACUACGUGCCAGCCGCCGCCGUAAAAC
rnacentral:rRNA from 1 species